GCGGGGAGCGCCGGAUCCUGGGCUGUGUCCCCGGCGGCCUGGGCUCCAGCCGCUGGAAUCGCGCUCCCGGGGCCGCGCAGCCCCCU
rnacentral:pre_miRNA from 1 species